rnacentral:tRNA from 1 species
GCCGCUGUGGCUAAGCCCGGUACAGCGUCUGAUUCGUAAUCAGAAGUGUCGCGAGUUCGAAUCUCGUCAGCGGCUCCA